CCUGUGAAGAUGCAGGUUACCCGCGACAGGACGGAAAGACCCCGUGGAGCUUUACUGUAGCCUGAUAUUGAAAUUCGGCACAGCUUGUACAGGAUAGGUAGGAGCCAUUGAAACGUGAGCGCUAGCUUACGUGGAGGCGUUGGUGGGAUACUACCCUAGCUGUGUUGGCUUUCUAACCCGCACCACUUAUCGUGGUGGGAGACAGUGUCAGGCGGGCAGUUUGACUGGGGCGGUCGCCUCCUAAAAGGUAACGGAGGCGCUCAAAGGUUCCCUCAGAAUGGUUGGAAAUCAUUCACAGAGUGUAAAGGCAUAAGGGAGCUUGACUGCGAGACCUACAAGUCGAGCAGGGUCGAAAGACGGACUUAGUGAUCCGGUGGUUCCGCAUGGA
rnacentral:rRNA from 2 species